rnacentral:tRNA from 1 species
GGGAUUAGCUCAGUUGGCUAGAGCGCUUGCCUUGCACGCAAGAGGUCAUCGGUUCGACUCCGAUAUUCUCCACUUAA